GCGGUUAUGGCGGAAUGGCAGACGCGCCAGCUUGAGGGGCUGGUAGGGAAUCUCCCUGUGUGGGUUCAAAUCCCAUUGACCGCA
rnacentral:tRNA from 1 species